GCCCAGGUGGCGGAAUUGGUAGACGCGAUAGACUCAAAAUCUAUUGGUGGCAACAUCAUGAGAGUUCGAUUCUCUCCCUGGGCACAA
rnacentral:tRNA from 1 species